rnacentral:rRNA from 1 species
UUCGGACUGGAGUCUGCAACCCGACUCCACGAAGUUGGAUUCGCUAGUAAUCGCGCAUCAGCCAUGGCGCGGUGAAUACGUUCCCGGGCCUUGUACACACCGCCCGUCAAGCCAUGGGAGCCGGGGGCGCCUGAAGUCCGGGACCGCGAGGGCCGGCCUAGGGCGAAACUGGUGACUGGGCUAAGUCGUAACAAGGUAUC